CCACCCUCUUGGUCAUAAGCUCUUUUCUUGAAGUCAUUCUUCCUUUUUCAUGAAGGAUAGGAUGUGUUUGCAGCUAAGCAGUUUUAUCAUGCUGUUUUCUGUCUCUAGAAUUUUGAGAGUCAUCCUCUUUUCAUUUCAUCCUGUCUCUGUCCCCUUUAGCCCAAGAUGGCAGGGUUUGUAACGGUGUAACAUUCUUAAGAACCUGUAGAUCUUCUGCAUAUGUCAUGGGGAUUCACUCCAUUAGACAAGGGGCUCUUCCCAACAUCUUUGCUAUGCAAAAUACCAUCUCUAUUCCUGGUUUCUGCUGAGAUGGUUGAUAGGAUCUGUGAGCCACACACCUAAUCUUUUCAAAGAGUCCUCUGUGUGAUUGAAUACUUUGACCUUUUAAUCCUUCUGACGGCAGUGGGUAGUGGGUAAGGCACCAGCAAAAGGUUUUUCAGCCUUACCCUUGGCUUUCUCUUCAGAGCACACUGACAGUAAAUGUCCUGAUUUUAGCAUCUUUUGCAAUCUGGGUAGGCCGAGAAUUUCCCAAAUCAUCAGGCCUGAUUUUCUUUUUGCAUAACAGUUUUUGCCUCAAUCUAUCUCUUUUUACCCACUUCUUACCAUAAACAGCAAGAAGAAAACUCGGAAAUCUUCUCAGCUAAAUUAUCAAAUUCAUCAUUUACAAGUUUGCUUUCUACAUAACUGCAGGACACAAUUCAUUAUAAUACACUAUCGAGAAGAAAUUGUGGAGAACAGGACAGAUGCCCCCACCUACUUGUUACUGUGGAAGCUAUCAAGGAGAUUUUCAAUAUUUGCCAGAAGAAUCUGAUGAUUGCUGAAUGGUCAAUUUGGAUAAGUUGCUGUGGAAUCGAUUCUGACUGAUGGCCACCCUAUGUGUGUCAGAGUAGAACUGUGUUCUCUAUAUAUGCUUUUCAACAGCUGGCUUUUCACCAUUUCUAUCACCCAGGGACUCCAUUUAAAGGAAGAAGGUUCCACCUUAUUACGGAAGCUGGAUUACACAGCACAAAUGACCUAGAACCUCCAGAUCAACAGAACCUGACACAGGCCACAGGUGAUCAAGUCUGUCCCAUAGCUGUAUCACCCAGAACAGGUAGGUUUCUCAGCCAGGAGAAUGACCACAAACAGAACCACAGUAGCAGACCUCCCAUACGAUGUGAUCGGACCCAGGAGUUGUUAAUCAACAAAGUCAGCUAAAAGUGGAGAGUCAUAAAAAUUGAUGCAUAAUAAUGCACAUUUUAUUUACAUGUACUUUAAAAUAUGUAUAUGCAUAGUCAUUCUUCAAUAUUUGAUAUUGGGUCAGGGCAUACUCCGAGUAUUGGCUUGCUGUUCUUUCUUACAUAUACCAUAUACAUAAUGCGUCUCCCAUAAUUUCCCAUUUGAGCGUCUUUUAAGUAGAUUGAGAACUUAAAGACAGUCGAGGAGUAUUCUGAGGACAGAAACUUGCUUUAUUUUCAUGAUUUUCCCCAGUCUUGUGGUUACAAACCUUCUAAUUCCUCACCAAUUUUUUAAGUAAUUUGCCUCUAUUGAGUCUUUUCAAACAAUAAAUUCUUUUUAUAUCAGUAUUUUACUGUUUCCUCCGAUAUUUUACUAGUAUGAAUUUGCAAUAGUAAGUAUAAUUGUCAUACAUAGGUUCAGAACAAAUGCAACCGAUUCUUGAGAGGAAUGCAGCUCCAUGGAUGGGAAC